rnacentral:rRNA from 1 species
AAUACCCAAUGUGCUCGGUGAUUCGGUUCAUCGAGUAAAGCUCCGGCGCUUCGGGAGAGGCCUGCGGCCCAUCAGCUAGUUGGUAGGGUAACGGCCUACCAAGGCAGAGACGGGUAGGGGGCGUGAGAGCGCGGACCCCCACACUGGCACUGAGAUACGGGCCAGACUCCUACGGGAGGCAGCAGUAAGGGAUAUUGCGCAAUGGACGAAAGUCAGACGCAGCGACGCCGCGUGGGCGAUGAAGGCCUUCGGGUUGUAAAGCCCUUUUAUGGGGGAAGAGAAAAAGGACGGUACCCCAGGAAUAAGUCCCGGCUAACUACGUGCCAGCAGCCGCGGUAAAACGUAGGGGACAAGCGUUAUCCGGAUUCACUGGGCGUAAAGAGCGUUGAGGCGGUUCCGUAAGUUGGGCGUGAAAGCUCCGGGCUUAACUCGGAGAUGUCGUUCAAUACUGCGGGGCUUGAGGACAGCAGAGGAAGGUGGAAUUCCCGGUGUAGUGGUGAAAUGCGUAGAUAUCGGGAGGAACACCCGUGGCGAAGGCGGCCUUCUGGGCUGUUCCUGACGCUGAAGGCGAAAGCUAGGGGAGCGAACGGGAUUAGAUACCCCGGUAGUCCUAGCUGUAAACGAUGGAUGCUGGGUGUGGGGGGUGUAAAUUCCCUCUGUGCUGAAGCAAACGCGUUAAGCAUCCCGCCUGGGGACUACGGCCGCAAGGCUAAAACUCAAACGAAUUGACGGGGGCCCGCACAAGCAGCGGAGCGUGUGGUUUAAUUCGAUGCUACACGAAGAACCUUACCUGGGUUUGACAUGCACGUGGUAGGGAACUGAAAGGGGACCGACCUUCGGGAGCGUGCACAGGUGCUGCAUGGCUGUCGUCAGCUCGUGCCGUGAGGUGUCGGGUUAAGUCCCGUAACGAGCGCAACCCUUGCCCUUAGUUACAAGUGUCUAAGGGGACUGCCCGGGACAACUGGGAGGAAGGUGGGGAUGACGUCAAGUCAGCAUGGCCUUUAUAUCCAGGGCUACACACACGCUACAAUGGCCGGUACAAUAGGUUGCGAAGUCGUGAGGCGGAGCCAAUCCUC